GUGCUCACUUUGGCAGCAUAUAUACUAAAAUUGGAACAAUAAUGAGAUUAGCAUGGCCCCUGUGCAAGGACGGCAUACAAAUUCAUGAAGAGGUGAAAGAAUGG